rnacentral:rRNA from 1 species
AAUCCUGGCUCAGGAUGAACGCUAGCUACAGGCUUAACACAUGCAAGUCGAGGGGCAGCGGGAAGUCAGCUUGCUGACUUUGCCGGCGACCGGCGCACGGGUGAGUAACACGUAUCCAACCUUCCCGUUACUCUGGGAUAGCCUUUCGAAAGAAAGAUUAAUACCGGAUAGUAUCGAGAGAUUGCAUGAUGACCCGAUUAAAGAUUUAUCGGUAACGGAUGGGGAUGCGUUCCAUUAGAUAGUAGGG